UUGGCUCCCAUGCUCCAGUGUUCUCCGAUGAGCACUCUGGCUUGCAUCCCAUCGUGCAGCUGCUGGAAGAUGCAGAGAAACUUGGGUGGUACUCCCAAGUUUGGAGAGGUGUUUCCAGAGCAACUCACGGUU